rnacentral:tmRNA from 1 species
AUGCGUUCCGCCAAGACGGAAUUGAAUAUUCUUGGAAAAACAAUAAGUGCCAAUUACGGCAACGUAGCUUACGCUUAAGACGUAAGUCGUCCUGAAUAGAAUGAGUCUAUGGUUUUAUUUAAGGGCGUCAUAAACAUAGACUGGUUCGGUUCGAUGUCCAAGCGGAUCGAAUAAGAUAGAUUGGACUGGUUCUUUUAAAUUGGGGUCGCCGGCAGUUACUAGAACAAGAUUAAUCCGGUAGACUAAGCAUGUAGAUGUUUUUCAAGGUUUUAUUUCGGACGGGAGUUCGACUCUCCCCGCCUCCACAA